UACGGAGGGUGCAAACGUUGCUCGGAAUCAUUGGGCGUAAAGCACACGUAGGCGGCCUGUUAAGUCGGGUGUGAAAGCCCUGGGCUCAACCCAGGAAGUGCACUCGAAACUGGCGGGCUUGAAUAUGGAAGAGGGUCGCGGAAUUCCCGGUGUAGAGGUGAAAUUCGUAGAUAUCGGGAGGAACACCAGUGGCGAAGGCGGCGACCUGGGCCAAUAUUGACGCUGAGGCACGAAAGCCAGGGGAGCAAACGGG
rnacentral:rRNA from 1 species